rnacentral:rRNA from 1 species
UACGAAGGGGGCUAGCGUUGCUCGGAAUCACUGGGCGUAAAGGGUGCGUAGGCGGGUCUUUAAGUCAGGGGUGAAAUCCUGGAGCUCAACUCCAGAACUGCCUUUGAUACUGAGGAUCUUGAGUUCGGGAGAGGUGAGUGGAACUGCGAGUGUAGAGGUGAAAUUCGUAGAUAUUCGCAAGAACACCAGUGGCGAAGGCGGCUCACUGGCCCGAUACUGACGCUGAGGCACGGAAAAGCG